GUCUUGCCUGGGUAAUCCAUACAGAUAUAUAGAAACACAUACAAGAAGAGUACCCAGAGCAAAGGUGAGUGCUGAAAAGAAGAAAAAAAAAAAACAAAAAGAAUCUGUAUUUGUGUCCUUAAAACUAUGUAACAAUGAUUAGUUUAAAAUUUUGAAGACUUUCAAUUGUGGGUUUACACUAUCAGAUUGCAUGGAAAAUAAAUUUUAGUGUUCUAUAUGAUGAUGGUAAGGUUUAGAAAGGUCAUCAAUGCUAGCUCCACCCCCACCCCACUCACCAAAAAAAGUAGUGAAAUCAAGGGAGUGACAAUCACUGACUACAUACUUUCCAAGAACGCAAGUAUGACUGUCCUGGACCACUGACAAAGAACAUACUAACAUCCCUCUAUGCUGACUGAAAGAAAACGCAGUGGAAUAUGGAUUUUCCAUGAUACUAGAAACCUGUGAAAGUUUAGAGUAAAAGGCAGUUAAGCAAAAUUCAAAGAGUUAGGUGACCAAUGAUUCAAACCAUUGAAGAUUUCUGAAUAGGAGAUGAGGUGGUGAUUUAAUGAGUAAAAUUCCAUUUUCUGCUAACAUCUUUUUUUUUUUUUCAUCUUAAUCCUGAAAAUCUGGACACAACUGAAUUACAACUUGCCCAAACUUGACAAGUAGGCAUCAUAUAAAUAAAUCCUUAUGUCAAAACUAAACCAUAUUCUAUGUGGAGUACAAUGGCACAGUCUUAAUAGCUUUAAAAAUGUCAUGCAGAGAAACAACAUCGAGCUAUGACUUUUAGUUCAUCCCUAACUAGAAAAGACUAGCUUUGCCUUCCAAAAGGGGAAGAGGGUAAAUUAAAUCUAAAUAGGAAACUAAGAUUGCUAAGACAUUCUAAUUAAUUUCCUUGACCAUCAGUAAGACAGAACACUGACCAAAAAGCAUUUAUACUGUUUCCAAAUAUUCUUUAGGAGCACAGGCAUAGGAUUUGUUGAGCAUAAGGAUGGAUCAGAGCUACAAGUGAAAGUUCACACAAAUCAGACAAAGAAACUGAGACAUGGGUUAAGUAACUUCCCCAAGGUUUUACAGCUAAUAAAUGGUACAAGCAAGAUUUGAACCAGACUAUCAAAUUUUUUUCUAAGAUUUCUACAAGGACUGAGCAAAUAAGUAAAUAUCUUGAGGAUAACGGAAGUCAAACUCACCACCAUUGGAAAAGGGAAUACGGAAAAGGGAACAGUUGUAAUGAACUCUGUGGUACUGGAUCAGAAUUGCAGGUACCUCUGGCAAAUGAAAACUUCCCUCAACCUAAGAUUUCUC